rnacentral:tRNA from 1 species
UGGUAGUUAGUUUAACAAAAACAAAUGAUUUCGACUCAUUAAAUUAUGCUAACCACAUAACUACCAA